rnacentral:rRNA from 1 species
ACACGUCUACAUUAGAUACCCGCGUAGUCCCAGCCGUAAACUAUGCGCGUUAGGUGUAUCGGUGACCACGAGUCACCGAGGUGCCGAAGGGAAACCGUGAAACGUGCCGCCUGGGAAGUACGGUCGCAAGGCUGAAACUUAAAGGAAUUGGCGGGGAGCACCACAACGGGUGGAGCCUGCGGUUUAAUUGGACUCAACGCCGGGAAGCUCACCGGAUAAGACAGCGGAAUGAUUGCCGGGCUGAAGACUCUGCAUGACUAGCUG